AUACGGAGGGUGCAAGCGUUACUCGGAAUCACUGGGCGUAAAGCGCGCGCAGGCGGUCUUUUAAGUUGGAUGUGAAAGCCUACGGCUCAACCGUAGAACUGCAUCCAAAACUAUUAGACUAGAGUGUGGGAGAGGAAGAUGGAAUUAGUUGUGUAGGGGUAAAAUCCGUAGAGAUAACUAGGAAUACCAAAAGCGAAGGCAAUCUUCUGGAACACUACUGACGCUGAGGCGCGAAAGCGUGGGGAGCAAACCGGAUUAGAAACCCUAGUAGUCC
rnacentral:rRNA from 1 species